AGCGAACGCUGGCGGCAGGCUUAACACAUGCAAGUCGAACGCCCCGCCAGGGGAGUGGCAGACGGGUGAGUAACACGUGGGAACGGACCCUCUGGUUCGGAAUAACUUGGGGAAACUCAAGCUAAUACCGGAUAAGCGCUUAUGAGGAAAGGUUUACUGCCGAAGGAUCGGCCCGCGUCUGAUUAGCUAGUUGGUGAGGUAAUGGCUCACCAAGGCGACGAUCAGUAGCUGGUCUGAGAGGAUGAUCAGCCACACUGGGACUGAGACACGGCCCAGACUCCUACGGGAGGCAGCAGUGGGGAAUAUUGGACAAUGGGGGCAACCCUGAUCCAGCCAUGCCGCGUGAGUGAUGAAGGCCUUAGGGUUGUAAAGCUCUUUUACCCGGGACGAUAAUGACUGUACCGGGAGAAUAAGCCCCGGCUAACUUCGUGCCAGCCGCCGCAGUAA
rnacentral:rRNA from 1 species